rnacentral:other from 15 species
CACGCAGAAAGCGUCUAGCCAUGGCGUUAGUAUGAGUGUCGUGCAGCCUCCAGGACCCCCCCUCCCGGGAGAGCCAUAGUGGUCUGCGGAACCGGUGAGUACACCGGAAUUGCCAGGACGACCGGGUCCUUUCUUGGAUAAACCCGCUCAAUGCCUGGAGAUUUGGGCGUGCCCCCGCAAGACUGCUAGCCGAGUAGUGUUGGGUCGCGAAAGGCCUUGUGGUACUGCCUGAUAGGGUGCUUGCGAGUGCCCCGGGAGG